rnacentral:piRNA from 1 species
UGCUUAGAAAUGUAUAACACACACACAC